UAGGAGGUUUUUUUUUCCAUUCGGUAGUUGUCAGUGCGUUCAUUAUAGCACACAUGCAUAAAUGUACUUGUUUUUACAGAUCUCUCCUCUAUUCAGAUUUCAUUUAAACAGCAAGGACAUUUCUGUGAAAACCCAUGAGAUACUAGUGUAAUGAAUUUGUAAACUUUUCAUUGGUUCUUAUUUGUUAUAUUACACCAGUGUGGUGUAUCACUGUUUCAGAUUAGAUGAACCACUGUCUGUCAGCAAAUGUGAACAUAAACUGCAUUGUGGCAUAUUAUAUUAUAGUUAUAUAAUAUAUAGAUAGUUUUGUGAAUGCAUAGUUGUACACAGUACAUACAUAAAAUCUGCUGAGUGUGGUGGUUUAUCUAAUCUAAAACAGUGAAGAGCUUUUCGCAAGUCUUCAUGGGGUGCAAAAAUGUGCAUUUCAAAAUCAUUUCCCCCUUUUAUGUCUAGUAUCCAGAAGUUGUUAUAAACUUAAAUGACUGAAAUAAACAAAACAAACUU